UUCUAUUUAGAUUUGCGGUGAAAGAUUUUAAAGCCAAAACCCAAAUAUGUUAUUAUAUUAUUUUUGACAUAUGUUGGGAGGGAAACCUGCAAAAAUCAACUUAGACUAUUUGCUGGCAGCGUUUUUAUACCUAUGUUAUAAUACUCGGCAAAAAUCAACCAAAACUCACUAAAAAUUCAAAUUCCCAAUCUAAACUAUAUGAAACUAGCCAAAAUCAACAUAUGUCGAAACGGUGGUAGUUAAUAGCUUAACAUGAAUGAUU
rnacentral:lncRNA from 1 species